CCUACGGGAGGCAGCAGUAGGGAAUAUUGCACAAUGGGGGAAAGCCUGAUGGAGCGACGCCGCGUGAAGGAUGAAGGACUUCGGGAUGUAAACCGCUUUUAUAAGGGAGGAAAAUGACGGUAACUGAUGAAUAAGGAUCGGCUAACUACGUGCCAGCAGCCGCGGUCAUACGUAGGAGGCGAGCAUUAUCCGGAGUUACUGGGUGUAAAGAGAGAGGUGGGUGGCAGAAUAAUGAGCUGGGGGAAUCCGGUUGGUAAACCCAUCAGACUGUUUGGGAAACUGUUAAGCUCGAGUGCGUUAGAGGUAACUGGAAUUUCUAGUGUAGCGGUGAAAUGCGUAGAUAUUAGGAGGAACACCAGUGGCGUAGGCAGGUUGCUGGGCUGUUACUGACGCUGAGGCACGAAAGCGUGGGGAGCAAACAGGAUUAGAUACCCGUGUAGUC
rnacentral:rRNA from 1 species